GCAAGGGUUGUACAACAAGAUCGGUGGAACCAACGGUGGUGGUGGUAAAGAUGAGCUUGGGGAUAGUUUCAAAAGAGAUAUGAGAGAGUUACAAGAACUGUUCUCUAAGCUUAACCCCAUGGCUGAAGAGUUUGUACCUCACUCGUUUGUUAACAAUGGACUCAAUGGUGGGUUUCACACUAACAAUAUUGCUUUUCAAAACAACAAUAACAACAUCUCAAGGAAUGGUAAUGCUAAUUGCAAUGGUGGUGGUAAAAGGGUAUGUCACCAAAACCCCCAGUUAUUUUCAUUGAUGCUUAGUGUACAUUUUGUAUAAGGAAAUUGAUAUGCUUUGUGGGUAUUAUUGCUGUAUUGGUCUUAUGUUUGGUAGGGUUGGUUCUUAUUUUAGGGUUUUUUUUUGGCUGAUAACUUAAAAAAAUCGAAUUAUUCAAGUUCCUGUGAUGGUCUCACCCUAUAUCCAAUGUACAGUAACUACAUUGUGUAUCUGUUUUCUCAAUAACGGGGAAGAUGAAAUAGGAUUUAAUUGAACAAAUUUGGUUGAGUGGGGGUUGUCCUUUUAUGUUAUGUACAUUUUAAACUGUACGAAAGCUUAAAUUCUGAAUAUUAGCGAAAUUCCGUAUGAUAUCAUGGAUUUUGUUCAUUCAUUUCGUUUUUCUCAGAAGAAAAUUUUAGGUCAAGGGAAACGGAAAUCGAACAGCAGGACAAGUAUGGCUCAAAGAGAAGAGGUUAUCCGUAGGACUGUUUAUGUGUCUGAUAUCGACCACCAGGUAUGUUUAUUUAUUUGGCAUUUUCAGCUUUGUUUGCAUGCUGCAAUCGAAUUCUUCUGUUUCAGUUUUGUCAUCACUUGUUGGGAUGCAGGUCACGGAGGAGCAGCUUGCCGGUUUAUUUGUGGGUUGUGGGCAGGUGAUGUUAUUUUCAUUGCUCGUCUUUGCAGUUUUAUCGAAAACAACCUGUCUGAAUGUACUUUUUCUUUCUGAAGGUGGUUGACUGUCGCAUAUGUGGUGAUCCUAACUCUGUACUUCGUUUUGCUUUUAUCGAGUUUACUGAUGAAGGUGAUGAUCAACCAUGGUUAUUUGUUUCAUUCUUUAGUGGAUAAACAUGGUAUUUACAUUCUUUACUAUGCAGAAGGUGCACAAGCUGCGCUGAACCUGGCAGGAACUAUGCUUGGAUUCUAUCCAGUUAGGGUGCUUCCUUCGAAAACAGCUAUUGCACCUGUUAACCCAACAUUUUUGCCAAGGGUGAGGCUGAUUGUCGUAAAUUUAUUAUACUAGAACUUAUUACAUUUUCUUUAUGUAUUCGGCCCGUUAAAACAUUUGUUAUUUGGAUUUCAGAACGAGGAUGAGCGUCAAAUGUGUGCGAGAACUAUCUACUGUACAAACAUUGACAAGAAGGUGAGAAGCUUUUCUGCAUUUUAUAAUGUUGAAUAUAAAAACGAUCCCGAUUGCAAAUAACCCUUUAAAUUUUUUAUUAUAUGAUUUUACAUACUGCAGGUUACUCAAGCUGAUGUUAAACUCUUUUUCGAAACAGUCUGUGGGGAGGUUUGUUUAACUCUGGUGUUCUGUUUUUACUAUUUAUUACGACAAAACUUAUCGAGAUGCAUUUAAAGGGAGUACUUGUCUGAUGCAGGUUUACCGCCUGAGGUUGCUUGGGGACUAUCAGCAUUCAACUCGCAUUGCUUUCGUCGAGUUUGUGAUGGUAGUUGUUUUUUUCCUCUUCAUUCAUGCAAUGUGACUGAACAACUUUUCCCUUGUUUAUCGAGGCUUUAAUGAGGUAUACAAGUGCAUGACCUUUAGAUCUGAAAAUUUUGGCUAGCCGGUCAGUAUUCCCCUUUGGAAGAGUGCAUUCUCUUGUGAGCUGUGGUUUUUGUUUUCGUGGAUUAAAUUCAAAAGCAAAAAACUCGAUUGAACUGUUGAAUUCUAGUAUAGUAGGUGGUACUGCAUAGGGUAAAAGUACCAUGGAGGCCCUUGUACUAGGAGUUGGAUUUUAUUUUGCUUCCCUACUCAAAAAAUUGGCAAAUUAGUCCCUAUUUGUUAGAUCAAAGAGCUAAGUGGCCUUUCUGUGAAAAAUUUUAUCCAUUUCUACUGUUAAAAACUAGUCCAUGGACAUUAAUAUAAGGUACAUGUGGCUUGCUAUGUGGCACUGUCUAGUUAUUCUGUUAGUUACGCUAGUUUCUAAUAGUACAAAUGAAUGUAUUUUGACAAAAAAAAACUAAUUUGCUUUUUGGUUUAACGUAAAAGGAUUAGUUUGUCCAUUUUCUGGGUAGAGGAGGCAAAAUGUAAUUUGACUUCUAGUAUAGGGGCCUGCAUGGUAUUUUUACCUACUGCAUAGAUAACACUCCUCGGAGCUGUGGAUUUUGUUCCUCUGUUUGGCUUAUUGAACCUAUGUUGGCUUAUUGGAAAAGUUAUUGGUGUUUCAACACGGGUUUAAACUUUGGAAGUGAUAUUUAAUGCCUAUUAGUCAUCCCGAGAUUGGGUUACCUCAGUGUUGAUGAACGAAAGAUUGAGUUCUCUCGUAUUCACCUGCAGGCUGAAAGUGCGAUUGCUGCUCUCAACUGUAGUGGUGUGGUUCUGGGAUCAUUGCCUAUAAGGUCAGAUUCCCGAUUCUCCCAUCAGUUGUCGUAAUGAUAUAUUCUCUCGGUUUUCUUUUUUUUGUUUCACCGUAAUUUCUAUCCAAAUAUCGAUAAAAAGUAUAUAUAUAUCUGUUGCCUUUUAAGUGAAAACCUCGGUGUUGUGUAUGAACAGGAUCAGCCCAUCAAAGACCCCAGUUCGGCCACGAGCUCCUCGCCUUCCCUCGUACUAAAUCAUUCACUCUGAACCAAUUUUAGUUCCAAGUUUAUAUAUAUAUUUAUUUAAAUACAUACACACCCAUGUAAGGAUGUUUCCCCCUGUUGCUCUUGCUGAUCUACAUAUAUAUCGUCCACUGCUGCUGCUAUGUUUCGGCAUCUUCGUUUACCAUAGGAGUCUUGUCUUUUGUUUAUCCACGCAACUUUGCGGUACAUAGAGAAUUCUGAUGGAACUUCGAGACUUUUCGAACAAUGUUAUGCAUUAUUGCUCUCUAAUCUUGGACAGAAUUUGACACUAUCUGGCAAUUAAAGACUGUGAAUGAUGAUGUGGUACUUCUAGUACACAUUUUUUGAGUUAUAUCUACUAAUGGAUGAUGCUUUUCCUUUUGGAUGUUUUUCUUUUACUAGCAUUGGUUCAAAGUUAGCUUUGUGUUGUGCUGCAUUUUCAUGACAUGACAUUGCAUUACUAGGUAAUGUCCAAAUAAUGACUGGUUUUGAACCGGUUAUUGAUCAACUCAGUGAGUUGAAUGAUUACCAGAGAUAUUUGAAGCAUUCUAAGAAACGGCAUUUUCUUUAAAUAAGUAUAUAUACACUUAUAUCAAUAAUCACUCAUUUGAUUUUUUUUUCGGUCACUAAUCAUUAAAUGACAAAUGAAAAUAUGAGGUGUUAGUUUUUAAAAUUGGUAUAAUAACAAUUUAACUAUCAACAUUUAUGUAAUGUGUUAAUUUGAUCUUUAAUUUUAAAAAUUUAGUGAGUGAAUUGUAAAUUCUCUACGUUUACAGGAGAUGCUAAAGAAUGAUGGCGAUGACAAUAACUGUUAAAUGAUUCAAGCAUGAAUCUUAUGAAAUCGAUAUUUUCAACCCAACCCAAUGAUGGAGAAUCAAAGUAUCAUAAGUGAAAAAAAAACAGUAAAAGUGAAUUAUGUUUUUGGAUAUUUUAGUGUUUUUGAGUUUGGUAUUUCUUAAUCAAAUUUAGCUGAUAAAAUUGUUUGAUGUUUUUAGCUUUGUAGGCGGAAAACGAAAUUUAAAAAAGGUUAAAUUAAAUAAUGUGUAAAAGUUGAAUGUUAAUUUUUAGAAUCAAAACUAAACUAAAACAAUAUAUAAAUAUUUGAGGAUUAAAAUUACAAUUAUGUUAAUUUUAAAAAUCGACUUAACCUUGUUUACGAGUAACUGUUAGUGACAAAAAAGAAUAAAUUGAAUAGCUAAAACAAAAAAAAAUCCUCCUUUAUACUUUUUUAUUAUGAAAUUUUAAAAAUUUAUAAUUCAAUUUUGAGAGGAAAAUUCUUUCAAUGCGAGAACAUAAAUAACCUAAUCCCUGUUUCAAUCUCUGCUCUAUUUGCUGCUCCCAAAUGGGGUCUGCUCUGUGUGCAAGCCAUUAAAUGCUCUAGUUUUUUCUUUCUCAUGUUAUCUUGUGUACCUUAGCUCUAUUAGAGUUGUUAAUGACAAAUAUAUGAUAGUGCCCCAUUUGUUUUUUCACGUGGCACUCUAAAAUACACCUAUCCGUUUGCAGAUGUAUAUUGGAGCUCGUACCCUGUUCCAUAAUCUGCAAUAAAAUGAUGAUAAUCAUCAUCAUCAUCAUCAUCAUCACCACCAUCACCAUCACCUUCUCUUCCUCCCUAUUAUUAAUAUAUCCCUUCACUUUCAUCCUAUCGCUUGCAUUUUCACCAUGGUAAACAAAACACCGACCUCGUGGUUGUCAAUGGUGAAAAGGGCUCUCGGGUCUAAUGCUAAAGAUAACGAGAAAAAAAGUUGCAGAACAAGAGAGAAAAGAAGAUGGCUAUUUAAAUGGUCUCAACAACGUAAACCCAAAACCAAAUCACAAUCCAUUGCAGCUGUUAACAUCGUUAGGCUUAAUUGCAGAGCUUCCAAUUACGCCAUUGUUGGAGAAAAAAACCAAGCUGCUAUUGUCAUUCAAACAGCUUUUAGAGGCUACAUAGUAAGUCAAAGAUUCUCUCUCUGUAUAUAAUUAACUGUUUAUUUAGUGUUUUUGAUGAUUUUUUUUGUUUUUUUUGUGAAAGGCAAGGAAAGCAUUGGGAGCAUUGAAAGGGGUAGUGAAGCUUCAAGCUUUAGUGAGAGGGCACAAUGUGAGAAGGCGAGCAAAGGUGGCGCUAAAAUGCAUGCAAUCUUUGGUUCGAGUGCUGCUCCAUCAACAACGAGCGAGGCUUUCAUAUGAAGGGUGUAGAACGGCCAUGUUUAUUGAGUCCAACUCAUCCUGGGAAUCUCCAUGUCUGCAAGAUGUUCGUAGGAGAAAGUCCAUCGUAAGUGCUUUAACUUUUUUUCAUGGGGUUUUACUAUGUGAGUUACAUUAGCAGUUUAGCACUCUAAUUAUAGUUAACAAUUUUGGUAACCAACGUCUUUAGGUACUCCUCUAAUUACGGUUUGCGGAUUGAGUAAUUUAACUCAAUUGACAUCCUUUGUGUUGAAAUUAGGAUGACAUAUUUUGCGAUUAAAAAUUUGGGCUAAAGAUGUUAUGGUCAAGUUAAGCCUAAGCUCAUUUCAAAAAUAAUUUUUAUGUCCGCCGAACCAAUCCAAAUGGCUCAUUUUAUUGCUAAAAAAAUGAAAACAUUUUAAUUUAAAUUUAAUUAUAAAAUAUAAAAAUAUUUUUUAUAUAUUUAUAUAUUUUUAUUAUUACUAAUCAAUAAGAUGAAUUGGAGUGAGGUUACCGGCCAAUGAACUGCUCUAGUUUGAGGGUUUUGGUUAAUUUAAGAAGUGUAUAAAAAAAAUAUGAUUUAUAUUUGGCCGACAAAAGGUCUUAUUAGAAUCAUGCUAAUAGUUUGAGGGCUCAUUUAAAAUGCUUUAAAGUUUAGGUAUCAGUUUAAAAUUUUGCCAUAACUUAGGGAUGUAUGGUGCAAUUAACCCAUUAAAUAUAUGCAUACGCAAAAUCUUAAUUAACGUACUAUAAUUAUUUCCUUUCAAGACAUUGGAUAAAGAUGAAAAAGAGGUCGAAGAAGCAACGAAAUGGCUCGAUCGACGGAGGGCAACAAAGCAAUGGGAGAGUCACAAUAGGGCUUCCAUUGAUAAAAGAGACUCCAUUAGAGAGCCUCUGCAAUUACGUUUAGCCAGCCUUCGGUGUCUUAAAGAGAAAUCAUCGUACCACUCGGCAGCAAACAGCCCGAGGUUGAUGAUGGUGCCGAAUUAUAUGGCGGCCACGGAGUCUGCGAAGGCUAAAGUGCGGUCCCAAAGCACCCCAAGCCAAAGGCCGGGAAAUGCAGAGAGGGCUGGUGGGGGUAAAAUUUCUCCACGUUCAACUUCUGAUCUGAGGUGGAUGAAAUUAUAAAUUGAGACAUUUUGAUGUCUACUUUUCAUGGAAGAUAUGAUUUAACCAUUAUUUAUGUAAUUUGAAAAAUUGAAAUUGGAAAUUACCAUAUUGAGAAGUACAAUAUUUUGUUGAACAAAAAUUGAAAUCUCUCCUAUCUUUUUCAAUUUCGAAAUUGGUCUCUCUAAAAAAUUCAAAGCAAUUUAUCCCUAUUAAUUUCAGAAAUGAGCAACCAAGGGCAUCACGACAUUAAUGUUUUUCUUUAAUUGUACAUGAUUUUGAUUGAUAUAAUACUAAGUUUAGUCUUCAAAGUUUAAAUAUUUUAUCAAUUUAGUCCUAAUUUAACAAAUUUAUCCCACAAUAUUUGUGUAAAUGUGUAAAUGACAAAAUAUGUAAACAUUGAAAGCUAAAGUUGUUACCAUACCAAUCGAAAUUAUGUAUAAUUGACGGAAGGCAUUAACGGCAUGAUUAAUUGUCCUUAGUAGCUACUUCGAAAUUGGUAGAGAUUAAAUUGCUCUAAUUUUUUUUGAGAGGGACCAAUUAGCUCAAUUUCAAAUUUGAGAGGGACUGGAGAGGCAAUCCUCUGUUUUUUUACUAGGAUCUUGGCAAGUCCAUGAACAACGCAGGGAUGAAUUUACUAUAACAAGCAACAUACGAUUGCUACUAUAGGAUAACAUGACACAAUUAUAUGAAAAUUUAUUUAACAUUAAACUAAAAAUUUUAAAAAAUUAUACAGAUGAGUACCUUAAACACGAGUAUUACUAAAAUAUAUAUAAACAUAAAACAAAACCAACAUAUUCCCAUAAUGAUUAAUUGAAUAAAUAUGGAAUUUGAACAAAAAAUAUAGCAUUAUUUAUUUAUUAGUUACACAAGCUAUCAAGUUCACAAACGUGCAUCAAAGUUUAAUAUUAUCCUACCAAGUAGAUCAAAAAAAGAAAAAAAAAGCAUAACAAGUAAAGAAAAACAAGUAUAUGAAUCAUCGAAGUUUAAGAAUCUGGGUUUUACCUCAAUGUCCCAAUUGUAUUUGCUAACUUCAAUCAUUGUUUAUAUUGUUCUCGAUGAUUGGUUUCACAAUUCAAACUCAUCUUCAAGCUUCAACUGCUCUGCAGCAGCCUCUUCGUCUUCACCAUCGAUGGCAAAAUAUGGGUUAUGCGCCUCUGGCUUGAAUUUAUACCCAGUAAACACAUAAAAGGCAAGAGUGGCCAAUUCUCCGGCCAACACAGCGGUCCAUAGAUACUUAUACGAAGUAAUCGUCUCCAAAGCAUAAACCACAACACGAGUGAAGUAAAUAUAACAGAUCACCACAACGUAAUACUGCCUAAACAGAGUCAAUUUCAUCAAAUUCACCGCAGCUUUCCCAUCCGUUCGAGCCGCCUCACGCAGGUUCUUAAUCGACCAAACGAUAGGGAACAACACAGCGCAACAACAAAUAACAUCAACAAGCAAAAACAGUUGCUUCCAUGUGACCCUAUCUUGACCAAAAGGGGAGGCCUCAUCGAUGACGACUUGGGCGAUGUUAGCAACAACUUGAAGUGGAAUCACGAUCAUUAAAACCUUCUUUUCUUUGUCCUGCAAAUAAGGUUUCAAAAACGACCAACCGGUGCCGAUCAAAACGAUGAGCGUGAAAAGCAUGAUCCCUUUCAAGAAACUGAAGAUGUAAAACAAAACAUCCCAACCAUGAGCACUUCCGGUUCGUUUGAUAUAAGAUUUAUCCUCGGCUUCAAACACGAGAUUAAAGGCUUUUAAAACAAUGACGGCAAGCAUAAAGAAAUGGAUUCGGAACACGGUGAGUCGUUUUUUGUAAAGAAAGUAAACCCAAAUCCCUGCGAGACUGAAAUAAACGAGGGAUAAAAGGAAGUAAACCCUAGGGAGAAUCGUUUUGCCGGCGGAGAGAUAAUCACGGCUAUUUUGCUUCCCUUCAAGAUUGUACAUCGCCGAUCGGACUGUCAUCGAUACUUUGACUUGAGUCAAACAAUUAGCGAAGAGUAGGGUGUACUGGUCAGCGUUGUUUACUGGGAAAACGGCGUUGACGCUCGUUUUCCCCUUGAGAGAUUCGAACCUGAAGACGACCUUGACGAGGUCGGAAUCGAGAGCGCACGUGACAUGGUGGUCAUUGAGUUGUUCAAGCACGUGGAACCACGUGUCGCGCGUGCAGAGGAAGAAUCCGAUUUUGUUCAAGUCGAGGUUCUUGCCGGAGAGAUCGAUCUGAGAGAGGUUGAGUUCAAGGCGGCCGUUGUGAGUGAAUCCGAACUCAUCGAAAGGUAUUAUGGGUCGGACAUCGGAUCGGAUCUCCGUGAAACGGAUCUCGGCGAAACCAAAAGAAACAAAAAGUGAGACCAAAAGUAAAAGCAACAGAGAACGGCAGGUCAUCAUCGCCAUGAAAAAAAAAAGGAACUUUUCACCGUUGAUCGGAGAAAAAAAAUCAGAUCUACAAAGAGAACUAGAUCUACUCCGUUUUUUGAAUUUAUUUUCUCCUUACUUUGUUUGCUUCGGCCAGCCGGGUCUUUUUGGUUGGCUUUGAAAUGUUGACUUCUUAUAUUGGUGUUUGUACAAAAGGAUUGAUUAUUCAAAAUUUAGAAUUGUUCAAUGUUAGAAUUUGGACUGAUUUUUCGUAUAGAGGAUUAUUCAAUGCUACGUUAAAAUUACUAAAUUAGACGUUGUUCGUGUUUAAAAAAAGACUUGUUAGGUUUAAGUAUUAUUUUUGAAUAUUAGAAAAUAUUAAUAUUUUUAUCAAAAAUUAAAUAUGAUUAUAUUUGUUUGAAAAUUAUUUUCCCCUAAUUUUAUAAAAGAAAUUAUUUUAACUCUUUAUUUAAUUUUUUUUAUUCUUUUAGCUCUUAUACUAGUUUUUUUUGUCAAAUUAUCUUAAAAUAUAUGGAAAAAUUAAUGUUUGUUGAUAUAGUUGAAUGACAUGUCAACAUUUAACUAUUUUUUAAAUUUUAAAAAAAUAUUUUUUAUAAAUUUUAUACAUUUAAAUAAUUUUAAUGAUUUUAAAUUUUUAAAAUUAAUCUUUAUAACUUUUUUAAUUUUAAAAUUUUAAAAAAUUAAUUAAAUGUUGACGUAUCAUCCACGUAGAUGACACGUCAGUAAAAUUAAUAAAUGUUAACUUUUCCAUUUACUUUGGAGUGAUUUGAUAAAAAGUGAAAAUUUAAGGCUUAAAAAAGACGAAAAAUUAAAUAAAUGACUAAAAUAAUUUUUUGUAAAGUUGGAGGCAUAAAAAUCAUCAUACCUAUUUUUAUUGUAGUCAUCGUGGAUAAUUCUAAUAUUUUAUAUUAAUUUUGAAUGUAUUUUUAAAAAAAUUAAUAUGUGUGGAAUGACUAAAAAUGAUAAUUAAAAAAGAAGUAAGUUAUAUCAAAGUUAUUAAAUUAUUAAUAAGUUUAUGUUUUGGUCAUUUAAUGUUAAGAAGUUUUAAAAUGAUCACUAAACUAUUAAAAAGAUUAUUUAAGUCAUUAGACUAUUAAAAUCACUGUUGUAUGACAUUCUUUGUCAGCACUAUCUCUGUACCAAUCAAAAGGUCCUAUUCUCCUUCUCUUCUAUGGUAUAAUUUUUUUAUGAGACAACUUUGAACGUCACAAAUUUACAAACCAGAAUCCAAAUAAUUUUUUCUUCGAUCUUUGACAGUGGCUAUCAAAUUAACUUGGAUCCACCAUACCUAUCAUUAAAUCGGUGCUUGGAGCUAGCUAAUUAGGCUUUUAAAAAAAGACUGAACAACUCAAUAAUUUAAAUAAAAAUUUUUUAAUAGUUAAGCGGCUAAAAUAUUAACUUACUAAUAAUUGAGUGACUUUAAAUGUAAUCUCCCCUUAAAAAAAUGAGUAAUGUUGUUGGAAUGGGGAAUAACGGUAAUUUUGAAUGGAGGAAUUAACAAACUGAUGACUGAUAAGCUAAGCUACCUUCAUUGAUUGGUUUACUGGAAAAACCAAUGAGUUUAAAUUAUAUUUUUCUUUUCAAUUAAUUAAUUAAUUAAUGCAGUCUCCGCAACGUGAAAGGUUCGGACUUCGGACAGGAUGUUUUUUCUUUUCUUAGUUUGGAGUAUAAAAAUUAUAAUUAAUUAUAAAUACAUGUUUAAAUAAUUAUAAAAUAGAAUUAGUAUAAAACACAAGAAUCAAAAUAUAUAAAGAAUCCACAAAUUAUCCGGUUUUAAUUUACAGAAUUUUGCUUUCAACUUGAUUCAAACAUAUACCCUUUAACAAUUAAAUUAUGCUUUAACCAUCAAAGCUAAUCCUCGACCUCAGUUAAAGCUUACACAAACUAAUAAAUAACGUAUAAAUAUAAAUAAAAUAAUUUUUAAAAUUAAAAAUGUUUAAAAAAUUGUGAGAAAAAUAAUUUUAUCCAACAUAUUAUUAGUUUCUAUUCGUAAACUUAACUGAAUAACAAGAUGGAAUCAUUAGGAUUUUUAGAUUUGAGAUUAUCCUUUUUAUUAUUUGAUCAAUUCAAUUAGUUAAUAUUUUAAAACAAAAAAAAUUAAUAUUUAUAUAAUUAAAAUAAAUAUUAUGAUAUGAAUUUAUUUUGUAAUCUCACAUAGUUAUAUUUAGUACGUAUUAUAUAAAAUAGUAUACAACAUGUUUAAGGACAUAUAAUAUAUUAAUUGUUAUAUAAUUAAAUUAUGAAUGUAAAAUAAUUAUUCUAACAUUACGAUAUUACAAUGUGUAUUAUUGUAUUGACGAUAUGCAAUCUAAACAUUACAAUAUAGGCUAGGCUCCUCUAUUACAUCAACUAGACUCGCUCUUAAAAAAAUUACUCGCCAAUUUUAAUUUCGAAUAAAUCACUCUUCCUCAUUUGUUUAUCUUUUCUUUCUUUUUUUUUUUUUAUUAGUGAAAGGGAAUUCUCAAGAAAGCUCUUUUGCCAAUCCGGUAGAAUUUGACAUAUGACAAUGUUGUUUCCAGCCCUAUAUACAAUUAUGUUGUUAUAAUAUACAUAACUUAUAUACCUUAAUUGUAUAAUACUAAUUGUAUAUAUUGUAGUAUAUCAUAAAAUUAUUAAAUUCAUUAAGUUCUAUUAUUUUUAAAAAUUGAUGCGUCAAACAUAUUAUUGCAUGUAUAAUAUCAUGUUAGCUUGCUAUCUCCACAUAUUACUCACAAUAAAAGCAAUUAAUAAAUUUAACGACGGUCGUUUACAUUGAAACUGAAAUUUCAAAAUUAAAAAAAAAAUAACGAGUAAAAAUGAUCUAAUUGAAAAAUAUGGACUAAAUCUCUAACUUUACAUAUAAUACAAAACUAAUAAUAGAAUUUAACCAAACAAAUUUAACUGCUACUAUUAGUUAGGUCUAAAAUUACAAAGUUAAAAAUGAUAGAGACUAAAAUUGUUUAAUUCGAAAAGUAUAUAGACUAAAAUUGAAAAUACAGUACUAAAUUUACAAUACACACAAAGUACAGGAUCUAAUAGCAAAAUUUGACCCAAAAAAAAGAACGGUGUUGAUAUUAACAACCCAUUAGAGGACAUUUUUUAAGGAAUUAAUACAUGAAUCAAAAUAACUUAAUUAAAUGAUAUAAUUUAGUUACUUUAAACUAUGAAGAUAGUGCUGACCAUGUUAAAUUAAUUAGUGUUAUCGAUAUAAAAGGAUGUAGGUUUGAUUGUCAUAUAAAAUAACAUUAAAUUAUUUUAAAAGUAUAAAUUUUAAUUUUCAAGAGUUAAUAUCUAUUUAACUUGUGAUAACAAUGACAACAAGCGUGGAUUAUCAUACAUUUUAUUCUUAACAGAGAUAUGGUUUCACCUAAUUUCCCAGUUUGAUUUGAUCUACAUUUUCUUCAAUCAUUGCCCAAUUUUUUCCUCAUCAUGAAGUUUCAACUGCUCUACAUCAUCAGCCUCUUCCUCUUCAUCAUCGAUAGCAAAAUACGGGUUAUACGUCUCUGGCUUGAAUUUAUAUCCAGUAAACACAUAAAACACGAGCGUGGCCAACUCCCCGACCAACACACAGCUCCACGGAUACUUACCCCAAGUAAUCGUCUCCAAACCAUAAACCGCAACAAGAGUUAAGUAAAUAUAACAGAUCACCAUAACGUAAUACUGCUUAAACAACGUCAACUUCAUCAAAUUCACUGCAGCUUUCCCAUCCGUCUGAGCCGCCUCACGCAGGUUCUUAAUUGACCAAAUGAUUUGCAACAACAUGGCGCAACAACAAAUAAUAUCGACAAGCAAAAAUAGUGAUUUCCAUGUGACCCUAUAUGGACUGAAAGGCGAGGUCUCGUCGAUUAUAACUAGGGCAAUGUUAGCCACAACUUGAAGUGGAAUAACAAUCGUUAAAACCAUCUUUUCCUUGUCUUGCAAGUAAGGUUUCAAAAGCGACCAACCGGUGCCGAUCAAAAUGAUGAGCGUGAAAAGCAUGAUCCCUUUCAAGGAACUGAAUAUGUAAAACGGAACGUCCCAACCGUGAGCAGUCCCGGUUUGUUGGAUAUAUAAUGUGUCCUCUGCUUUGGAUACGAGAUUCAAAGCUUUUAAAACGACAACAAUUAGCAUAAAGAAGUGGAUUCGGAAAACAGUGAGACGUUUCUUGUAAAGCACGUAAAUCCAAAUCCCUGCCAGGGUGAAAUAAACGAGGGACAAAAGGAAGUAAAGCUUAGGGAGAAAUGUUUCGUCAGCGGAGAGGUAAUCGCGAUGGUUUUGAUUUCCCUUGAGAUUGUACAUUGCCGAUCGGACGGUCAUCGAUACUUUGACUUGACUAAGACAAUUAGCGAAGAGUAGAGUGUACCGGUCGGCAUUUUUUACUGGGAGAACGGAGUUGAAGCUCGAUUUCCCAUUGAGAGUCUUGAAGUUGGAGACGAUUUUGACGAGACUGGAAUGGAGAACGCACGAGAUUUCGGCGUCAGCAAGUUGUUGAAGCACAUGGAGCCACGCGUUGCGUGUGCAGAGGAAGAAUCCGACAUUGUUGAAGUUGAGGUUCGGGUUAUUGUCUGAGAGAGUGAUCUGAGAGACGUUGAGUUCGAGACGGCCAUUGUGAGUGAACCAGAACUCAUCGAAAGGGAUUAUGGGACGGUCAUUGGAUCGGAUCUUUGUGAAACGGAUUUCAGCAAAACCAAAAGAAACGAAAAGAGAGAUCAAAAGAAAAAGCAAAAAGGAGCGGCACAUCUUCCCCAUUGGAGAAAUGGAAAAAAGAACUUUUGGCGUUGAACCGAGAGAAAUUUGAGAACUAAAUAGAGAAAUAUCUUCGUUUUGAUUUGUCAUCCUUGCUUUGUUCACAUCGGCCGGCUGGGGUUUCGAUUGCCUUCAAUUUCGAACAUUAAACUUUCAUAUUGGCGUUUGUUUGUUUGCAAUUGCAAAAAAAUAGGUACAAGAGGAUCGAAGCUCUAAAUUUUACAAGCAUGGGUGGAGUUUCCACUAAUUUAAGUAAGUAGAGUGCUUUCAUUUUGGUUACCUAAAAUGAAAUUUUUGUAAUUUAGCUACUAAAUUUGAUGCUUUCAUUUUAGUCACUCAACUUUUAAGUCGUUUUCAUUUUAGUUACUAAAUAACACAAAUUCUUUUAAAGUAUUGAUUAGGGUGAAAAAUCAAAUAUGAAAGUGAAAAAGCGGUAAACUAAAUUGCUGAAAUUUUUAAAUUUCUUUUCUAAUAUUAAAAUUUUAAAUUUCAAAAACACCAAAAUAAGUUUUUGAAAAUUUUAUAUCCAUUGAUAAUGUCAACCCAUUUGUUACUAUAAUAUUAAAAUCAAUUAAUUUAAUCUCUUUUUAAAUUUUAAAAGUUUAUUUUAUAUUUCCAGAUUAUCUUUUAACGAAAUCAACUUAAAUAGCUCAUAUUUAAUAAUUAUCUAUAGAACUUAAAUUUCUUUUAAUUAUAUAAUGUCGAAUCUUUUAUGCUAAGCUAAAAGUAAAGGAAAAGAUACUUGCAAUUAAUUAAAUUAAUUGUUUGUUCUUCGUUAGGAUAAAAAAGUGAUAAAAACAAUUAUGAGUUUUCUUUGGAAUGAAAUAUAAAAUUAAUUAAUUACAAGGACAUUUAAAAAUAGGUAAAAUUCUAUUCAUUUCUAUUAUUAAAAAUAGGUCUUUGUACAUCAGCAUAACGAAUAUGUGACAAGUCACGUGUCACUGCUUAGUUAUUGUAUCACCCAUAUCAACUUCUUCUAUCAGUACAAAUGGAUGAGAUUAUUAAUAGAAAAGAUCAAUUUUGCUCUUUGAUAAUGUGCAGGAACUAAUUUAACUAUUUUUAAAUAAAAAAUAAAAUACAAUUUAACUCUUAAUAUAAAAAUCUCCAUUUACUUUUACCCUAAUUAAACAUAUAUCAAUAAUGUAGUGGUAAUUAAAUAAACACGGAGCUUCAAUAAAAAAAUAUAUAGCAUAACUUGUUUAUUUACCUACACAAGCUAUCAAGUUCACGUGCAUCUAAAAUAUUAUCUUGCAGAAGAACAAACAUGAAUUAUCAUAGAUUUUUCUUAGGUAAAAGUAUCAUACAGUUUUUUGUAUUAGAAGUUAGAUUGCAUUUUACUCUUUUAUUAAAAAAAAGUCAAAUUAAUCAUUAUACAUUAGAUUAAAGAGCAAAUUAGUUCUUUUUCAUAAAAAAAUUUAAUCUAUUUCUACUAUUAAAAAUUGACAUAAUUGACAAAAUAACAAGACAGUUGCACUUAAUGGGCCACGUGUACCUCAUUUUGAUGUAAGUGGACCAGUUUUUAAUAAAAAAAUCAAUUUGGUCUUUUAUCUAACGUAUAAGAAUUAAUUUACCAUUUUUAAUAAAUAAGACAAAAUAUAAUUUAACUCCUAAUACAAAUGUCUCCAUAUUACUUUUACCAUUUUUCUAACAUUCGAUUUGCUCUUCAUUUUCUUCGAUCAUUGCCCAUUUUUUCCCUCGUCUCGAAACUUCAACCGCUCUAAAUCGACCUCUUUCUCUUGAUGGUCAAUCGGAAAAUACUAAUUAUCCACCUUCGGCUUGAAUUCAUACCCAAUAAACACAAAAGGGGAGUGUGCCAACUCCUCAACCAACACACUUCGGCCGGGGCUUUGAUUGGCGCUCGUUUCUUGGGAAAUGUAGAAGUUUAAUCUAAAAUAAGUACAAAAGGAUCGACUAAUCCCAAAGUUUCAAAUUUUGCAAGGAUGGUGGAGUUUCCACUAAUCUCUUGUUGCUCACUUCUUUUUUUUUUUUGUUAAAUGUUGCUAUCAGUCUUUUACUUUGUGAGAAUUGUGGAUUUAGUUCUACACUUUAAUUUGAUUAUUUUUAAUUUUUAUGUUUUUUUCAAAAUUUUAAAUUUUUGUUCUCACCAAAUGAUAAUUGUUAAGGUGUGUUUGGUUCACUGAAUCUUACAUUAUAUUUCAUAAUAAGAUUAUUGGAAUAUGAGAUUAUGAGUGGAAUGUGAGAUUACCUUAUUUGGUUCAUUUGGUUGGAAAGUAAGCUUCAGACGUUUAGUUAAUAGAAUGUAAGAUUAACUUGUUUGGUUCAUUUGGCAGCAAUUUAUGUAUUAAUAAGUAAAUAAACGAUGUUGAAAUAAAAUUAUAACUUUUAAUAAUAAUUUAUAAAAAAUGAUUACAACACCUUCCAUAAUUAUAAUUAUAAUUAUAACCAUAAUUAAUAUAUAUAUGUCCCUUAAAUUCAUAAAGUUAAUAAGUUCUAUUAUUUCUCAAAUUUGAUGCAACGCCAUAUUAUCAUAUAAGUAAUGCCAUGUCAAUUGUCAGCUUAUUAUUUUUACACAUUACUCACUAAAAAUUCAAUUGAUGGAUUAACGACUGUAAUUUCGUCAAGAUUAGAACUUCAAAAUCCGAAAAGUAUAGAGACUUAGAAUAAUCCAAUUGGAGAAUAUGGACUUAGGGUGAGUUUGGAUGGGUGGUGGGGUGCGGUGUGUUUAGCUUACUUUUUGUCUCACGCUAUAAUAUCGUUACAGUAUCUAAUCUCACUACCACGGCUAUUUUUACACUAACCGCAGGUAAACGCACCGCCCAUCCAAACCCACCCUCAAUCUAAAUUGUAAGAAUAGUACAAUACUAGUAUUUAAAUUUAACCAAACCAAUUUAAUUGUUACUAUUUGAUUCAAGUUUAAAAUUUGAAAAGGACAAGGAUUCAUGUAUUCAUUUUCUUCAAUCAUUGCCCAUUUUUCCUCAUCUCAAAGCUUCAAUUGCUCUGAACCGCCCUCUUCCUCUUCAUCAUCGGUCGGAAAAUACAAGUUAUCCACCUUUGGCUUGAAUUCAUACCCAGUAUACACAUAAAAGGUGAGUGUGGCCAGCUCCCCAACUAAAACACGGCUCCAUGAAUAUUUAUAUACAGUAUUUGUUGUCUCCAAAGUAUAAACCAUAAUACGAGGGAAGUAAAUAUAACAAAUGACCAUAAUGUAAUACUGCCUAAACAGGGUCAAUUUCUUCAAUUUCACCGCAGCUUUCUCGUCCGUCUGAACCACCUCACGCAACUUCUCAAUCGACCAAACAAUCGGUAACAACACCGCGCAGUAACAAAAAACAUCAACAAGCAAAACAAUUUGCUUACAUACAACCCUAUAUGGACUGAAAAGUGGGGUCUUAUCUAUGAAAACUUGGGCAAUGUUAGCAACAACUACCUGAAAUGGAAUCACUAUAAAAAAAACCUUCUUUUCCUUAUCCUGCAAGUAAGGUUUCAAAAGCGACCAGCCUUGGCCAAUCAAAAUGAUCAACGUGGUCACUUUCAAGAUACUGAAAAUGGAAAACCAAAGAUCCCAACCAUAGCCAGUUCCGGUUCGUUUGAUACAAUAUUUAACCUCCGCUUCAAAUACGAGGUUGCAAGCUUUUAAAGGGAUGACAGCCAGCAUAAUGAAAUGGGUUCUAGAAACAGAGAUAGGGUUCUUGUGAAGCAAGUAAAGCCAAAUCCCUGCGAGUGUGAAAUAAAAGAGGGACAAAAGGAAGUAAAAGCUAGGGAGAAUUGCUUGGUUGGCGGAGAGAUAAUCCCGACGGUCUUUAUUUCCUUCGAGAUUGUACAUCGCCGAUUGGACAGUCAUCGAUACAUUGACUUGAUCGAGACAGUUACUGAAGGCUAGGAUGUAGUGGUCCGCGUACCGUACUGGGAAAACGGUGUUGAAGCUCAAUUUCACUUUGAGAGACCUUAAGUCGAAGAUGACCCUGACGUAAGGGGAAGAGAGAGCACAAAAGACUUUCCCGUCGGCGAGUUGUUGUUGAAGCAAUAACGCCCAUGUGUGACGUGUGCAGACGAAGAAUCCGACUUUGUCCAAGUAAUAGUAUGGAAUCUGGUUCGAGAUAGUAACUUGAGAGACGCUGAGUUCGAGACGGCCGUUGUGAGUGAACUGGAACUCGUCUAAGGGGAUUACAGAGUAGCGGUCAUUGGAUCGGAUCUCCGUGAAACGGAUCUCAGCAAGACUGAAUGAAACAAACAAAAAAAAAGAGAUGAAAAGAACAAGCAAAAUGGAGCUCCACAACAUAGCCAUGGGAGAAAGAGGAAAAAAAGGAAAGAAAACUGGCGUUGAUCAGAGUUUUGAGAGAAAUUUCACAUCACCCCCAUGUUUAAAGAUCUCUUACUUUGUCCCUAUCGGCCGGCAGGGGCUUUGGAAUGUUUUUAACUUUUAUUCUAACGUUUUUAUUGUAAAAUAAGUACCAAGAAAAUGAUCGAUUAUUCCUAUAGUAAUUCGUUCUAGUUUUAAAGAUUUUGGGACUUUCUUGAAAAAAAUUCAAUCGUUAUUACUUCAAAAUUUUCAAUUAUAAUUACAUCCAAAUAUUCAAUCGCAAUCAUGGGAAGAAUGGUUGGGUUCAUUACUAGGAGCUAGAAUGUCUGCUAUUUUUAAUGCAACUUCUUACCUGAGUCUUGCAAACUUUUUGGGUAAACCAUACAAAUGGUCACCCAACUAUUUCCAUGUUCCUGUUUUGGUCACUCAACUUAAAAUUUUUUAAUUUAGGCACUAAACUUUGUAUUCGUUCCUAUUUUGGUCACUCGUCGUUAAAUUGAUAACGGAAAUAAUGACAUGUCAUUUUUCUAACCGGUAUAAUAACACAUUUAAUCAUUAAUACUUACAUAUUCUAUUAAUUUGAUCCUAAUUCUAAAUAAUUUAAUAAAUUUAACCCUUCACAUUUACAAAUUCUAUUAUUUUGAUCCUCACACUUCUUAACUAAAGCUUUGACAAUAGAGGCAUUCCAAAACUCAAAAAAGAAGAAAAAACCUUCUCCAAUUGUAAAAAUAUAACAUACUUUACGUGGUUUAUUGAGAAUUGAAAUAUACAGAGAUUUUAGUUUCUGUGUUAUUUAAAUUUCUUUUUUUUUUUUCUAUUUAAUGGUUACCCAAUUUAAUCCAUAGCUCAAAGAUAGGUUUUUUGCUGUUGGAAAAACAGGAAAAAAUACAAUUUUUUGUUGUUAAUUGAUUUUAUUUUGUUUGUUGCAUCAUCCAUAAAGAAGAAUUGCAACGUUGAUGUUAAUUAUUCUGGUGGUGAGCCGAUUGUUUAGUUCUUAAGAAAUAAUAUAUUUGCACUGUUUAGUUCUUAAGAAAUAAUAUAUUUGCACAUGUUAUUUAUUACAUGCUAUAUUUGCAUAAUUGAAGAAGUUUUUUUUUCCUUUUUGGAUUUUAUAAAUUUAUAGACGCAAAAUGCCUCUGUUUUAAAAGUUGAAAGCUUCAGUUACUAAAUUUAAGGAUCAAAUUGAUAGAAUUUACAAAUGUAAAAGUUAACUUUAUCAAAUUAUUUAAAAUUAGGAUUAAAUAUUAAAAAUUAAACCUGUUAUUAUAGCAGAUUGAAAAAGUCAUGUCAUUUUUCGUUAUCAAUUUAACGACUGCUUAAAUUUCCUUCUCUUGACUAUCUGACUCUGUUUUAUUUUGCUGCUAAUUCAUUUCAAUUUCGUUUUCUUCGCGGUGAUCUCGAGGUGGGUUUCUAGUUUUUUUUUUUUCAUCAAUGGAGAUUAUUGUAGCUUUAUCUUAAUUUUUGAAACAGAUUCUUAUAUAAUUAUAUCCAACAUUUCAAAACUCUACUUUUUCUUUUAAAAUUUCUUUGUUUGGGUUUAUAGAUUCUGGGUUUUUAUUUUUAUUGUUGAUCAGUUGCUAAAAAAGGGAGCUUUUUUUUAAAUAAUAGGGAUAAUCUAAUCUAAUCAUCAGGCCAUGGCUGUUGUUGAGAAUGCUUCGAAUCAAGACACGGCGGCUGCAACACUGACGUCAAUCGACCAAGAUCAGUCAAAGCUUCGGUCAACAACCGAUCUGAGCUUACACGAAAACGAUCAAGGGAUGUACAACAAGAUCGUUGGAACCAACGGUGGUGGUGGUAAAGAUGAGCUUGAGGAUAGUUUCGAAAGAGAUAGGAGAAAGUUACAAGAACUGUUCUCUAAGCUUAACCCCAUGGCUGAAGAGUUUGUACCUCACUCGCUUGUUAACAAUGGACUUAAUGGUGGGUUUCACACUAACAAUAUUGCUUUACAAAACAACAAUAACAACGUCUCAAGGAAUGGUAAUGCUAAUUGCAAUGGUGGUGGUAAAAGGGUAUGACACCAAAAACCCCAGUUAUUUUCAUUGAUGCUUAGUGUACAUUUUGUAUAAGGAAAUUGAUAUGCUUUGUGAGUAUUAUUGCUGUUUUGGUCUUAUGCUUGGUAGGGUUGGUU
rnacentral:lncRNA from 1 species